GGCAUAUUAUGGGAAGCCGCACCUCCCCAAAAGGCAGGAUCGCCUUUGGCUGAGACCCCAUCGCAUCUGAUUCUCAAGGCAUGGACCUAGUCGCAGACACCUGUUGGAGUUUCCUGUCCCAUGCACCUGUGCAGACUCGCCCCCAUCUCCUGGCCCCCACAGAACAUCUGUGUCACCCGGGUCGGUCCCCUCUGCUCCGGGCUCCAUGAGGGAAGGAAUGGUGACUGUUGGUUAUGGUUGAUAUCAUAAUGGUGCCCAGUAAAUGCUUCUUGAAUGAAUGGAUGGAA